GACGAACGCUGGCGGCGUGCCUAAUACAUGCAAGUCGAACGCAGUGGGGACGGGUGAGUAACACCUGGGUAACCUCCCAUCAGAGGGGAUAACCCUUGGAAACAGGUGCUAAACCGAUACUGAUGGAUGGACCCGCGGUGCAUUAGCUAGUUGGGGAGGGAAAGGCGCACCAAGGCCACGAUGCAUAGCCGUCCUGAGAGGGUGAUCAGCCACACUGGGACUGAGACACGGCCCAGACUCCGACGGGAGGCAGCAGUAGGGAAUCUUCGGCAAUGGGCGAAAGGCUGACCGAGCAACGCCGCGUGAAUGAAGAAGGUUUUCGGGUCGUAAAGCUCUGUUAUUAGGGAGGCGGUAUCUAACCAGAAAGCCACGGCUAACUCCGUGCCAGCCGCCGCGGUAAUAC
rnacentral:rRNA from 1 species